GUUGGGGUAGCCGCAGGCAGGCUGGUAGAGGAUGAAAGAGCACUGGGUGGAGGCGGGUGCUGCUGGGAGUCAGGCUUGGGGUGUGGGUGCCGAUAUGUGCCUCGUGAGCUUGGCCCUCCUGCCACCUGCGUGGUCUCCAGGGUACGCACCUGGGCAGUGCACCUGCUGCCAGGGCCGUUGGGGGAGUUUCUGGCUCUCCCAAGGGCGUCUCAAUUGGGCUCCCCUAGAAGAGGUCUGAGACAGGAUUUGUCCAUCUGGAAGGUCAGAAAACAACAAGCACAGGGUAGGGCAGCCAAUAAAGCAGGAAGGAUCUGCGGGGACACAUGGCCAUAUCAGGGCCACGUGCUUGGUGACAGCAGGCAGGGAAGACCAUGCAUCUUCAGAGGAGCCAGACACCUAGCACAGCGUCGGGCCCAGGAGACCUGAUGAGUUCUGACGGCUGAAUGAGGACCGUGGUCAGCAGAGCAGGUUGCCUCUAGUUGUUCUUUCCAAUGGGAUGUUUCCUGUUGUCUUUUCUUUCAGACUGGAUCUCCAGGGACCCCCAUCUAGACGGGAGGACCUCUGGCACUCCAGGUCAGGCUGCGUGGGAGGCUCCUGCCCUGGGAUCUCCUCCCCCGGGUACACCCCUGUGGAAGAGGCUAGUCCCAGGCAGGACUGGCGGGAGGAGAAGAGCAGGGGUCCCCUCCUGGGAUCUCACCCUCCCUACACGGGCAAGAAAGGAGACUGACAGGAGAAGAUGCCACAGCAGCUCAGUGAGGAAAGCAUUUGGGGACACGAUUGGAAAACGAAGCCUUGGAAUAGCUAUUUCUUGGAAAGUCUUUGGAAGAAAUGUAACGACGAUUUAUCAAUUCCAGGGACAGUUGACUUUGGUUCACCACCUGCUCUUUCUCCACUGGGAAGAAACUCAGUGUUUUCUGGAAAAAAAGAAUGGAAUUGAUGCUGACAUGGUUUGAGAAAUGGAGAAGGUACUAAACAAGGCUUGUUUCUCUCAUUUCUAUGUCCCUUUUAAAAGGAUGUGUGCUAUUCAAUUAGUAAAUUCAAUUAAAAUUGAUUGAGAGCCCCCAGACA
rnacentral:lncRNA from 1 species